UACAGAGGUCCCGAGCGUUGUUCGGAUUCACUGGGCGUAAAGGGUGCGCAGGUGGCUUGGCAAGUUUGAUGUGAAAGCUCAGGGCUUAACCCUGAAAUGGCAUUGAAUACUGUUGAGCUGGAGGUUUGGAGGGGGGACUGGAAUUCUUGGCGUAGCAGUGAAAUGCGUAGAUAUCAAGAGGAACACCAGUGGCGAAGGCGAGUCCCUGGACAACACCUGACACUGAGGCACGAAAGCUAGGGGAGCAAACAGG
rnacentral:rRNA from 1 species